rnacentral:rRNA from 1 species
GCAGCUAUACAUGCAGUCGAGCGAAUGACGAGGAGCUUGCUCCUCUGAUUUAGCGGCGGACGGGUGAGUAACACGUGGGCAACCUGCCCUGUAGACUGGGAUAACUUCGGGAAACCGGAGCUAAUACCGGAUAAUCCAUUUCACCUCAUGGUGAAAUGUUGAAAGGCGCUUUCGGGCGUCACUACAGGAUGGGCCCGCGGUGCAUUAGCUAGUUGGUGGGGUAACGGCCUACCAAGGCGACGAUGCAUAGCCGACCUGAGAGGGUGAUCGGCCACAUUGGGACUGAGACACGGCCCAAAUCUCCUACGGGAGGCAGCAGUAGGGAAUCUUCCACAAUGGACGAAAGUCUGAGGGAGACAGCCGCGUGUGAGAUGAAGGUUUUCGGUAUCGUAAAACUCUGUUGUAAGGGAAGAACAACUACGUUAGGAAAUGAACGUACCUUGACGGUACCUUAUUAGAAAGCCACGGUCUAACUACGUGCCAGCAGCCGCGGUAAUACGUAGGUGGCAAGCGUUGUCCGGAUAUAUAGUGCGUAUAGCGCGCGCAGGCGGUUUCUCUAAGUCUGAGAUGUGAAAGCACACGGCUUAACCGUGGAGGGUCAUUGGAAACUGGGAGACUUGAGUGUCAGAAGAGGAAAGGAAUUCCAAGUGUAGCGGUGAAAUGCGUAGAGAUUUGGAGGAACACCAGUGGCGAAGGCGACUUUCUGGUCUGCAACUGACGCUAGGCGCGAAAGCAUAGGGAGCACACAGGAUUAGAUACCCUGGUAGUCCAUGCCGAAACGAUGAGUGCUAAGUGUUAGGGGGUUUCCGCCCCUUAGUGCUGCAGCUAACGCAUUAAGC